rnacentral:lncRNA from 1 species
CUGAGGGAGACUCGGGGCUGUGGAGCUGGUUACCGUGCUUCUCAUGAGAGAAGCCCUCGACACCAGGCUGCCUCCCCUUGAACCCGUGUCCCUGGCAAGAAGCCUUCCUGCAGGGCUGCCAGUGCUAAUUAGCAUUAACAGGGCUGCCUGCCAAACUCCCUCACUGCCUCAAAGUGUGGGACAGCUUCUCUGCUUAGAAGGAGGUUUUGGUCACGGCUGCAUUGGGGCCUCCAUAAAUCACUGGAUCUAAACUCCUUGGAGAAGCAGUUAAGACAAGUUUCCUAAUUUCGUCCUUUUCUGGCAGCUACAGCAUUGCACUUUCCCCCUUUCCUUAAAAAAAUAUCAACCAAUGCCUAAAGAACAGAGAGGGCUUUAUUGUUACUCGGCCACUGCUCCUGAUCCUUAUCAACAGCUCUCCGAGAAAGGCCCUCCAAAAUCUCACCGCAGCAUCUUCAUUUACUGAAAUACCCUUUCCCAGGAUUUUUGUGUCACGUCAGCUCAAAUGGAAACACUACUGAAGCUGCUUUGAUUCUGAGCUUGUUCCGCUGGGUCAGUGAUGAGGGCUUUCAAAGGAAAAGGCCUUGAAACAACGGGCACCCAACUUCAACCAGUUCUACAGACCUGGGGCCAAGAUGACAACCAGCCCCUCACCGCCUCCCUCCCGCUGCUCCUCGGCCAACCCGUGCCAGGGGCCGGAAAGGCUUCAGAGAGCGUCCUUUUCCAGCAGCGUGCACCUGUUUGUUUACUUGGGGGUCAUUCUGGGUUAACUCAGGAAAAGUUUACAAAGUUCUCAAGUUCUGUGCCAGGUGUGUGGGGCUGUCGGUCCUGCCCAGCUCAUGAGGACAAGCAAGACGAUGCCGCCACUGGGCAAGCUCACCACUGCCCCAGACCCCUGCCCACUGGCAUUGCUCACCCACUAGGGGUGAUAAGGGCAGGUGGGGGGCAUCUUAAAAGGAGAAGGUAACUGGAAACCCAAAGUGGCCUCAACCAGGAAAGAAGAGCCAGAUGAGUCUUGACUGAAUGCUUUCCAAGGGUGAGGUCAUUCAUUCCUGCAGAGAAGCCCAGGAGCCCAGUACUGUUUUACAGAGGAAAUGCCCCCUAGCCUUGGAGAAGCUUGGCCCUACACGGCGGGAAUGGUAUAACCUGGAUUCUAAACUCCUUCUGAUUCUAGACCAUUCUCUUUCCUCAACACCAAGUGCUCUCAGAUAUUUUUAAAAGUGUUAGAAAACAUAGACUUUCUCUUUUCCAUAUAUUUUAUAGGAAAAACCAUCUUUGGAGCUGGGAAAGGGCCGGAGGUUGUCUGGGAAAAUAAGCUUGGACACUGAAAGCCAUGUGAACUUUGACCUGGGAUCCUAACCUCUGCUGCGUGAGCCGCUCUGCAGGCGGCCAAUCAGAAAGCAGAUCCCAUGAAAUUGCAUGACUGUCAGAACCAAAACCUGGGAUGUCCUCGUUACUGAGGAUGUUAUAACCUAAAUCAGUGGGUCUCAACCAAGAGCCACUCUGGCCCCCAGGGUGCAUUUGGCAACGUCUGGAGAUGUUUUUGGUAGUUGCCGUUGGUGGUGGAGGUCACAGGCCGAGCAAGGCUGCUGAACUCUUCACAGUGCACAGGACAGCCCCACCACAAAGAAUGAGCUGGCUCAAAAUGUCACUAGAGCAAUUCCUUUUUUUGCCUGCUGGUCAAUGGCCUGAAGCGCCCCAAAUGAUGGCCGCAAUUCCAUCACAGCGCCCCAGGAGGAAGCAGGACCUGUAAGCCAGUGGAGCCUAAAGGUUCAGCUUCCACAGGCAGCACCAGUUACCUGGGGGUGAGGGACUACUGCUCCAGACACAGCCCUGGAUUUCAGCUGACGUCAUAGCCUGUGUGUGGCAGCCUGGGAGACUGAGCCCUGCCGUGUUUCUUGUCCCUUUAUAAAACUCUUACAGUCUCCAGCUUGACUGCCAUCUGUUUCUUUCUGGGACUCUGACUG